UUGAAGAAGAGGAAGAAAUGAACAGGGUUUGAAGAAGAGGAAGGAGGGAGAAACGCCCCAAACCCAAACUGAAGUACCCUCAAUUUUAGGUCUCCUACUAGAGCUACUCAGAGUAUCAAGAGGAAUGGUUUGAGUCUUGGAUAGUUCAUUUCCGGCAAAAAAACGGGCAAGAAUGCGAGGUGAGGAGUUUUGCAAGUUUCAGAGGAAACACGGCCAAAAAUCGCGUUAGAAAACAAAAUUGAGAAACCGUCCUCCUUCGGUACCAGUCGAGUGGGGAGGUGUUCAAGAGCUGCACUAUCACAUAGGGGUAUCGUUCCGGAGCGUCAGUCCCUUGUCGGUCUUUUAGAAUCUUUUGUAUUUUUCUUUCAUAAUUGUA